UGUGGGAGCGGGCUUGCUCGCGAUCAAGGCGCUGCGGUUUUUCAGAUGCACCGCAGCGAUCCCAUCGCGAGCAAGCCCGCUCCCACA
rnacentral:misc_RNA from 1 species